rnacentral:rRNA from 1 species
UUGGAGGGCAAGUCUGGUGCCAGCAGCCGCGGUAAUUCCAGCUCCAAUAGCGUAUAUUAAAGUUGUUGCAGUUAAAAAGCUCGUAGUUGAAUUUCGGGGUUAGUAGGCUGGUCGUGCCAUGGGUAUGCACUGGUCUUACUGAUUCCUCCUUCCUGAUGAACCGUAAUGCCAUUAAUUUGGUGUUGCGGGGAGUCUGGACUGUUACUUUGAAAAAAUUAGAGUGUUUAAAGCAGGCUAACGCUUGAAUACAUUAGCAUGGAAUAACGAAAUAGGACGUUCGAUCUUAUUUUGUUGGUUUCUAGGAUUGACGUAAUGAUUAAUAGGGAUAGUUGGGGGCAUUAGUAUUCAAUUGUCAGAGGUGAAAUUCUUGGAUUUAUUGAAGACUAACUACUGCGAAAGCAUUUGCCAAGGAUGUUUUCAUUAAUCAAGAACGAAAGUUAGGGGAUCGAAGACGAUCAGAUACCGUCGUAGUCUUAACCAUAAACUAUGCCGACUAGGGAUCGGAUGAUGUUAAUUUUAUAAUGACUCAUUCGGCGCCUUACGGGAAAC